rnacentral:rRNA from 1 species
UACGUAGGGUGCAAGCGUUGUCCGGAAUUAUUGGGCGUAAAGAGCUCGUAGGCGGCUUGUCACGUCGACUGUGAAAACCCGGGGCUCAACUCCGGGCCUGCAGUCGAUACGGGCUGGCUUGAGUGCGGUAGGGGAGACUGGAAUUCCUGGUGUAGCGGUGAAAUGCGCAGAUAUCAGGAGGAACACCGGUGGCGAAGGCGGGUCUCUGGGCCGAUAUUGACGCUGAGGAGCGAAAGCGUGGGGAGCGAACAGG